GAAAAUGCCAAGAGAGACUAAGAUAGAAAAUGGUUGAAGAGGAAGAAGGAAAACUAGGAAAGAUGAUACCAAAGAAACCAAAAGAAGAGAUAAAAACAAGAUAAAAACUGUCAAAAAUAUGUGGUGUUUAAAGCAUCACUCUGAACGCUGUGUAGAAAAGUCUGCAUGGGCUCCCGGUGACCGCCGGAGCACUGGCUAGGAGGCCACCGCGAUCGUGCAGGAGAGAGCUGCUGGGGGCUUAGACCCAGGCUGGGAGAAGUGGACUGAUUCUGGAUUCAUCUAGAAGACAGAGAACACAGGACUUCCUAACGGAAUGGAAUGGAUGAAAAAAACAAACACCCCAGCACCCCCUCUGGACAGACAUUGCCAUGCAGAAGGUCAACUUGGAAGUGAAUGGUUCCUUGAGCCCCUGAGAAACAGGAACCUCACUCAACAGGAUGCAUCCCUGAGCCAGGGCUUCUGGCUUAGCAAGAAGAGGUCCGGCGUUCCCGUCAGAUUGGAAGUUACGUGCAGGCACUCCUGUGCCCCUGCACAAUCUGGCUGGAGUACAUGACGAAAAUUCAAAGUCUCUGCGCAUUUUACGGAAAAAGGAAGAAGCAAUCUUCCAGAAGCAGCGACUAAGAAUAAGAACACUAACUCCCUUCCCCCAACUCAACUGUAUGUGAGUGUGAAACGAAAGGAAUCAUUUUCUGUGGAAUCAGUGUCCUCAGGGAGCAUCCAUGCUCAGGUAGAAGAAGGUAAAGAUACUUUCACAGACCCAUCAUGAUGAGCAUAUAGGGAUUUUACCGUGAAAAGUAAUGUGUCUCAUAGGCACAAUGGAGGGGUCUGAGGGUGAGACUGAAUCUGGGCUUCUUGUGAAGAUUAAAAUAAUUUUGGAUGAAGAGAAUAAUAGGAUUAAUCCUGAUUGCAUCUUGAGAUGAGAUGAAUAAUCAAUUCUAAUUAUUACCUCCUUUCAUCAAGAAUUCUGGGACUUCCCUGGUGGUACAGUGGUUAAGAAUCCACCUGCCAAUGCAGGGGACACGGGUUCAAGCCCUGGUCUGGGAAGAUCCCCCAUGCCACGGAGCAACUAAGCCCGUGCGCCACAAAUACUGAGCCUGUGCUCUAGAACCUGCGAGACACAACUACUGAGCCCACGUGCUGCAACUACUGAAGCCCGCAUGCCGAGAGCCCGUGCUCUGCAACAAGAGAAGCUACCGCAAAGAGAAGCCCGCGCACCGCAAUGAAGAGUAGCCCCCGCUCGUUACAACUAGAGAAAGCCUGCACGCAGCAAC